rnacentral:rRNA from 1 species
ACGGCUCAGUAACACGUAGAUAAUUUGCCCUUAGGUGGAGGAUACCCUCGGGAAACUGAGAAUAAUACUCCAUAGAUCUAGACUGCUGGAAUGCUUUUAGAUCGAAAGAUUUAUCGCCUAAGGAUAAGUCUGCGGACUAUCAGGUUGUAGUCAGGGUAACUACCUGACUAGCCUACGACGGAUACGGGUAGUGAGAGCUUUAGCCCGGAGAUGAUAUCUGAGACACGAUAUCAGGCCCUACGGGGCGCAGCAGGCGCGAAAACUUCGCACUGUGCGAAAGCACGACGAGGGAAUCCCAAGUGCUGGCUCGUAAGAGUCAGCUGUUUUUCUGUCUAAAAAACAGAGAGAGUAAGGGCUGGGUAAGACGGGUGCCAGCAGCCGCGGUAAUA